UGUGCCUGAUCAGCACACUGGGAGUGACUGAAUAAACUUACUGGCAUAUAGCUGGUUAAGGUGAUACAUUAGAGGUGGUGCUCGCUGUCAGCAAUGACAGAACUACUCAACCAAGUAGAAUGUAGGCAGAGAAGUUUUUCUAAUCUGUAGAAAUGCCCUUCUCUUGUUGGUAUACAGGAUUCCAACCUCCCUCUUU
rnacentral:ncRNA from 1 species